rnacentral:rRNA from 1 species
UAGUCCACGCCGUAAACGAUGGUUACUAGCUGUUUGGUUUUCGGACUGAGUGGCUAAGCGAAAGUGAUAAGUAACCCACCUGGGGAGUACGUUCGCAAGAAUGAAACUCAAAGGAAUUGACGGGGGCCCGCACAAGCGGUGGAGCAUGUGGUUUAAUUCGAUGAUACGCGAGGAACCUUACCAGGGCUUAAAUGUAGAUUGACAGGUUUAGAGAUAGACUUUUCUUCGGACAAUUUACAAGGUGCUGCAUGGUUGUCGUCAGCUCGUGCCGUGAGGUGUCAGGUUAAGUCCUAUAACGAGCGCAACCCCUGUUGUUAGUUGCCAGUGAGUAAUGUCGGGAACUCUAACAAGACUGCCGGUGCAAACCGCGAGGAAGGUGGGGAUGACGUCAAAUCAUCACGGCCCUUACGUCCUGGGCCACACACGUGCUACAAUGGUAGGGACAGAGAGCAGCCACAACGCGAGUUGGAGCGAAUCUAUAAACCCUAUCACAGUUCGGAUCGGAGUCUGCAACUCGACUCCG